AUCCAGCUGAUGAGUCCCAAAUAGGACGAAAUGCACUUCAUGGAU
rnacentral:hammerhead_ribozyme from 1 species